rnacentral:tRNA from 1 species
GAGAUAAUAGUAUAAGUUAAGUAUAGUUUAUUUUCAAUAAAUGGGUUUUUAUCUUAU